rnacentral:rRNA from 1 species
CCUACGGGAGGCUGCAGUGGGGAAUAUUGGACAAUGGGGGCAACCCUGAUCCAGCCAUGCCGCGUGUGUGAAGAAGGCCCUCGGGUUGUAAAGCACUUUCAGUGAGGAAGAACGCCUGGUGGUUAAUACCCAUCAGGAAAGACAUCACUCACAGAAGAAGCACCGGCUAACUCCGUGCCAGCAGCCGCGGUAAUACGGAGGGUGCGAGCGUUAAUCGGAAUUACUGGGCGUAAAGCGCGCGUAGGGGGCUUGAUAAGCCGGUUGUGAAAGCCCCGGGCUCAACCUGGGAACGGCAUCCGGAACUGUCAAGCUAGAGUGCAGGAGAGGAAGGUAGAAUUCCCGGUGUAGCGGUGAAAUGCGUAGAGAUCGGGAGGAAUACCAGUGGCGAAGGCGGCCUUCUGGACUGACACUGACACUGAGGUGCGAAAGCGUGGGUAGCAAACAGGAUUAGAUACCCCUGUAGUC